rnacentral:rRNA from 1 species
ACACUCCUGCGGGAGGCAGCAGUGGGGAAUCUUGCGCAAUGGGCGAAAGCCUGACGCAGCCAUGCCGCGUGAAUGAUGAAGGUCUUAGGAUUGUAAAAUUCUUUCACCGGGGACGAUAAUGACGGUACCCGGAGAAGAAGCCCCGGCUAACUUCGUGCCAGCAGCCGCGGUAAUACGAAGGGGGCUAGCGUUGCUCGGAAUUACUGGGCGUAAAGGGAGCGUAGGCGGACAUUUAAGUCAGGGGUGAAAUCCCGGGGCUCAACCUCGGAAUUGCCUUUGAUACUGGGUGUCUUGAGUAUGAGAGAGGUGUGUGGAACUCCGAGUGUAGAGGUGAAAUUCGUAGAUAUUCGGAAGAACACCAGUGGCGAAGGCGACACACUGGCUCAUUACUGACGCUGAGGCUCGAAAGCGUGGGGAGCAAACAGGAUUAGAAACCCGAGUAGUCCCAUGAU